CUUAACCUACAGACUGCGUUUGAAACUGUAUACCUUGAGAGCAGCAGAGGAAGGCGGAAUUCCUGGUGUAGUGGUGAAAUACGUAGAUAUCAGGAAGAACACCAGUGGCGAAGGCGGUCUUCUGGGCUGCAUCUGACGCUCAUGUACGAAAGCUGGGGUAGCGAACGGGAUUAGAUACCCCGGUAGUCCCAGCUGUAAACGAUGGACACUAGGUGUUGGAGGUUCGAAUCCUUCAGUGCCGGAGUUAACGCAUUAAGUGUCCCGCCUGGGGAAUACGGUCGCAAGACUGAAACUCAAAGGAAUUGACGGGGGCCCGCACAAGCGGUGGAGCAUGUGGUUUAAUUCGAUGCAACGCGAAGAACCUUACCGAGAAUUGACAUCCCGUGACUACCUGUGAGAGCAGGGUUUAGUGUUUACACUACAC
rnacentral:rRNA from 1 species